GACGAACGCUGGCGGCGUGCCUAAUACAUGCCAGUAGAACGCUGAAGGAGGAGCUUGCUUCUCCGGAUGAGUUGCGAACGGGUGAGUAACGCGUAGGUAACCUGCCUGGUAGCGGGGGAUAACUAUUGGAAACGAUAGCUAAUACCGCAUAAGAGUAGAUGUUGCAUGACAUUUGCUUAAAAGGUGCAAUUGCAUCACUACCAGAUGGACCUGCGUUGUAUUAGCUAGUUGGUGGGGUAACGGCUCACCAAGGCGACGAUACAUAGCCGACCUGAGAGGGUGAUCGGCCAAACUGGGAAUGAGACACGGCCCAGAAUCCUACGGGAGGCAGCAGUAGGGAAACUUCGGCAAUGGACGGAAGUCUGACCGAGAAACGCCGCGUGAGUGAAGAAGGUUUUCGGAUCGUAAAGCUCUGUUGUAAGAGAAGAACGAGUGUGAGAGUGGAAAGUUCACACUGUGACGGUAUCUUACCAGAAAGGGACGGCUAACUACGUG
rnacentral:rRNA from 1 species